CCAGACUCCUACGGGAGGCAGCAGUGGGGAAUAUUGCACAAUGGGGGAAACCCUGAUGCAGCGACGCCGCGUGAGCGAUGAAGUAUUUCGGUAUGUAAAGCUCUAUCAGCAGGGAAGAAGAUGACGGUACCUGACUAAGAAGCCCCGGCUAACUACGUGCCGGCAGCCGCGGUAAUACGUAGGGGGCAAGCGUUAUCCGGAUUUACUGGGUGUAAAGGGAGCGUAGACGGCGAUGCAAGCCAGAUGUGAAAGCCCGGGGCUCAACCGCGGAACGGCUUUGGAAACUGUGGAACUGGAGUGCUGGAGAGGCAAGCGGAAUUCCUAGUGUAGCGGUGAAAUGCGUAGAUAUUAGGAGGAACACCAGUGGCGAAGGCGGCGUGCUGGACAGUAACUGACGUUGAGGCUCGAAAGCGUGGGGAGCAAACAGGAUUAGAUACCCCGGUACCG
rnacentral:rRNA from 1 species